rnacentral:rRNA from 1 species
CACGUAGGGCGCGAGCGUUGUCCUGAAUUAUUGGGCGUAAAGAGCUCGUAGGCGGCCUGUUGCGUCCGCUGUGAAAGCCCGGGGCUUAACCCCGGGUCGGCAGUGGAUACGGGCAGGCUAGAGGUAGGUAGGGGAGAAUGGAAUUCCCGGUGUAGCGGUGAAAUGCGCAGAUAUCGGGAGGAACACCAGUAGCGAAGGCGGCACUCUGGGCCGUGACUGACGCUGAGGAGCGAAAGCGUGGGUAGCAAACAGG